rnacentral:lncRNA from 1 species
CUGCCUGGGGAUUCUAUUUAAUGAGAAGGUAAUUAAAUACAACGAUACAAGUAAAUUUAAUUGCAAAUAAAAUUAAUAACAGGGAGAAAAAAAGAAGAAAAAACGCAAAAAAGAGCACUACAUAAAAAUGUGCAACUCCUUUUUAUUGAGUAAUUGUAGAAAGUAAGUUAUGUAAGUACAAAAGAAUUAGAGAUUAAAAAUGAAUAGCCCCCCACCCCCACAAAAAAAAACAGAAGAAAGAACUCAGUGUACAAAGAAUUUUACUAUAUUAGUGGCUGCUUCGAGAUUAAAACCCAUGACCUAUAGGUAAUACGCAAAUAACUUUACUAUUACUGCGAGGAUUAAAAUUCCUCAGGGAUGCUUUGAAGCACAGGCAUCCAAGAAGAAUUGUUUCUGAGCUUGAUUUGAUUGGCUUUUCUAAUUAACUGUCUUUUCCUCAUGAAAUUCAAACGUUGCUCCAAACAAGAAGAAUUUUGGCUUCUUUUGUCACUCAUAUUAUUACCAUUUCCUAAUGCUUCAAGAACUUGCAUUAAAUCUUCUUUUUUCACCACAAUUUUCAUCCUCACCACCUCCCCUUCAUUUUCUUGACUUGUGUCACAUCAUCAGCGUGUGUAUUACACGCAUUUUAUAUUUUUUGUCACGGCAGUAAAUUGAGCUCAAUUGAAAGUAUUUGUGAAGGAGCACCUGGCUUAAUUGAGGUGCCUAUACGGGAAAAGUAAAAGAAUAAUCCACUCAUCUUAGAAAAACGAGGAUGUAAUAAAACAAAAAUUUGCCAUCAAUAGGAGCUUAAUUUGAAUGAUUCAUAAUCACGACUUUAAAAAAAUAGCUAAUUCCAACGAAAAAAUUCAGUAAGGAAACCCAUCGAAAAUCUAAUAUUUUUGAGAAAAUAAUUUCGUCAUCCAAGAUUUCGCAAUAUCAUUUUUGGGGAAAUUCACAUUUUUCAGUAGCGAAUAUAAUAUCUAAAUUACUCCAAAAUCAAUAAGGAAUUUGAAGAAGGAAUAACAAAUUAAAUCUCUCUUCUAAAUGCUGAAAACUAAAGAAAAUGAAUAACCUGCCUGGGGAUUCUAUUUAAUGAGAAGGUAAUUAAAUACAACGAUACAAGUAAAUUUAAUUGCAAAUAAAAUUAAUAACAGGGAGAAAAAAAGAAGAAAAAACGCAAAAAAGAGCACUACAUAAAAAUGUGCAACUCCUUUUUAUUGAGUAAUUGUAGAAAGUAAGUUAUGUAAGUACAAAAGAAUUAGAGAUUAAAAAUGAAUAGCCCCCCACCCCCACAAAAAAAAACAGAAGAAAGAACUCAGUGUACAAAGAAUUUUACUAUAUUAGUGGCUGCUUCGAGAUUAAAACCCAUGACCUAUAGGUAAUACGCAAAUAACUUUACUAUUACUGCGAGGAUUAAAAUUCCUCAGGGAUGCUUUGAAGCACAGGCAUCCAAGAAGAAUUGUUUCUGAGCUUGAUUUGAUUGGCUUUUCUAAUUAACUGUCUUUUCCUCAUGAAAUUCAAACGUUGCUCCAAACAAGAAGAAUUUUGGCUUCUUUUGUCACUCAUAUUAUUACCAUUUCCUAAUGCUUCAAGAACUUGCAUUAAAUCUUCUUUUUUCACCACAAUUUUCAUCCUCACCACCUCCCCUUCAUUUUCUUGACUUGAAAAUUCUCUAUUACCAUUAUUAACUUGUGCAAUUGCAUCCAAAAUAUUGCUCAUCAUAUUAGCUUUAUGACUCCUUGUUCUUGAAAUCUUUGACUCCGAUGAUCUCCGUGGCCACGCGCAUCUAUCUUCUGCAAAUUUCACUUCCAUUUUCGCGUACCUUAAUUAAUUCUUUCUUUGAUCUCUUCUUUCUGUUUGUAUAUAUAGUUAAAGG